UACACUCAACUGUAGCCCUUCUUUUCAG
rnacentral:piRNA from 1 species